rnacentral:rRNA from 2 species
AAACCAACAGGGAUUGCCCUAGUAACGGCGAGUGAAGCGGCAACAGCUCAAAUUUGAAAUCUGGCCCUCGGGUCCGAGUUGUAAUUUGUAGAGGAUGCUUUUGGCGCGGUGCCUUCCGAGUUCCCUGGAACGGGACGCCUUAGAGGGUGAGAGCCCCGUACGGUUGGACACCAAGCCUCUGUAAAGCUCCUUCGACGAGUCGAGUAGUUUGGGAAUGCUGCUCUAAAUGGGAGGUAAAUUUCUUCUAAAGCUAAAUAUUGGCCAGAGACCGAUAGCGCACAAGUAGAGUGAUCGAAAGAUGAAAAGCACUUUGAAAAGAGGGUUAAAUAGCACGUGAAAUUGUUGAAAGGGAAGCGUUUGCGACCAGACCUUUUCCUAGCGGAUCAUCCGGUGUUCUCACCGGUGCACUUCGCUAGGUCGAGGCCAGCAUCGGUUUUCGUAGGGGGAUAAAAGCCCUGGGAACGUAGCUCCUCCGGGAGUGUUAUAGCCCUUUGCAUAAUACCCUUACGGGGACCGAGGACCGCGCUUUUGGCAAGGAUGCUGGCGUAAUGGUCGUCAACGAC